rnacentral:rRNA from 1 species
UACGUAGGGGGCGAGCGUUGUCCGGAUUUAUUGGGCGUAAAGAGCGUGUAGGCGGCCAGGUAGGUCUGCUGUGAAAACUCGAGGCUCAACCUCGAGACGUCGAUGGAAACCGUCUGGCUAGAGUCCGGAAGGGGAGAGUGGAAUUCCUGGUGUAGCGGUGAAAUGCGCAGAUAUCAGGAAGAACACCCGUGGCGAAGGCGGCUCUCUGGGACGGUACUGACGCUGAGACGCGAAAGCGUGGGGGAGCGAACAGG